GAUGAACGCUGGCGGCGUGCUUAACACAUGCAAGUCGAACGGAAAGGCCCAAGCUUGCUUGGGUACUCGAGUGGCGAACGGGUGAGUAACACGUGGGUGAUCUGCCCUGCACUUCGGGAUAAGCCUGGGAAACUGGGUCUAAUACUGGAUAGGACCACUUCUUGGAUGUUGUGGUGGAAAGUUUUUUCGGUGUGGGAUGAGCUCGCGGCCUAUCAGCUUGUUGGUGGGGUAAUGGCCUACCAAGGCGUCGACGGGUAGCCGGCCUGAGAGGGUGUACGGCCACAUUGGGACUGAGAUACGGCCCAGACUCCUACGGGGGGCAGCAGUGGGGAAUAUUGCACAAUGGGCGCAAGCCUGAUGCAGCGACGCCGCGUGGGGGAUGACGGCCUUCGGGUUGUAAACUCCUUUCGCUAGGGACGAAGCGUUUUGUGACGGUACCUGGAGAAGAAGCACCGGCUAACUACGUG
rnacentral:rRNA from 1 species